AAUAGAUACCCCGGUAGUCCACGCCGUAAACGAUGAGUGCUAAGUGUUAGGGGGUUUCCGCCCCUUAGUGCUGCAGCUAACGCAUUAAGCACUCCGCCUGGGGAGUACGGUCGCAAGACUGAAACUCAAAGGAAUUGACGGGGGCCCGCACAAGCGGUGGAGCAUGUGGUUUAAUUCGAAGCAACGCGAAGAACCUUACCAGGUCUUGACAUCCCGCUGACCGUUCUAGAGAUAGAUCUUUCCCUUCGGGGACAGCGGUGACAGGUGGUGCAUGGUUGUCGUCAGCUCGUGUCGUGAGAUGUUGGGUUAAGUCCCGCAACGAGCGCAACCCUUGAUCUUAGUUGCCAGCAUUUAGUUGGGCACUCUAAGGUGACUGCCGGUGAUAAACCGGAGGAAGGUGGGGAUGACGUCAAAUCAUCAUGCCCCUUAUGACCUGGGCUACACACGUGCUACAAUGGACGGUACAGAGGGUCGCAACCCCGCGAGGGUGAGCUAAUCCCAUAAAACCGUUCUCAGUUCGGAUUGUAGGCUGCAACUCGCCUA
rnacentral:rRNA from 1 species